GCGGAUAUGGUGGAAUUGGCAGACACGCAUGAUUCAGGUUCAUGUGCUGAGAGGCAUGCAGGUUCAAGUCCUGUUAUCCGCACCA
rnacentral:tRNA from 2 species